rnacentral:tRNA from 3 species
GGGUGCAUAUAAAAGCUAAGCGCGCAAACUCUUAAUCAGCGGGUCCACAGUUCGAUCCUGUGCACACCCACCA